ACGUUCGUCUCUGCGAAUCAGAAGAAAACCGAAAGUCAAAAAGAUGGGUUGGAUGGGAGAAACCAUAGAUUCAAUAAAAUCCAUUCAGAUCCGUCAGCUUCUCACUCAAGCCAUCAGUCUUGGGAUGAUUGUUACGUCUGCUUUGAUCAUAUGAAAAGCUUUGAUGUGUGUCACUGGCAGCGAAUCUCCUGUCGUUAUUGUUCUAUCUGGAAUUACGGAAUCUGGAUUUAAAGGUAACUGAACUUUGUAUCCAUUACAUUUUGCUUGCAGGUGCUUUGAUCAUACUCUAAAACAUAGUGUGUAUCAUCAUGUACGGGGAUACUUUCAGUGUUGCUGGUCGUGAUAUUCCCAUUGUACGUCGUGUCAUUAAGGGUCACGAAAGGGAGAUUACAUAAGAAGUGGAUGUUUUGACAAAAGGUGUUGGUUCUGCUGAUUUGGAAUGACACUUAGUGGCAAGAAACUACGUUGGGGACUUUGUAUUAACUUCCCUACAGUAUCAAUCAUAUUGUCUCCCUAAGUGUUCUUUUUAAGACUCAGCUUCAAGCCUUCAACAAUAUCAAGUUGAACAUCAGCUCAGGAGAGAAGUAGACAUUCAGUCUAUAUUCGGGAACUGUGGCUUACAGUUAUUUUUAUGAUGAUGCAAAAUCACUACACAGUUAUCAUGAAGUCUUCGAUAAGAAAAGUAUUCAAUCAAGACACUUACAGGGAAUGAAAAGAAGAAAUACUGGAUCAUAAACAAGUUCAUCUGAGAUAAAAAAAAUGGGUUAAUCUGAGAUACUACAAACCGUAGCCGCCACUUGCUUCUGUCUUUUGAUGUUGGGCAAAAAAAACUUCGUUACUAUCAUAAAUCCUAACCAAAACAAAACUUUUUGGAGAAGAAAAAUGGUA